rnacentral:rRNA from 1 species
UGGGGAAUCUUGCGCAAUGCGCGAAAGCGUGACGCAGCAACGCCGCGUGGGGGAAGAAGGCCUUCGGGUUGUAAACCCCUUUCAGUUGGGACGAAGCUCCGUCGGUGAACAGCCGGCUGGAGUGACGGUACCUUCACAAGAAGCACCGGCUAACUACGUGCCAGCAGCCGCGGUAAUACGUAGGGUGCAAGCGUUGUCCGGAAUCAUUGGGCGUAAAGAGCGUGUAGGCGGCUCAAUCAGUCCGCUGUAAAAGUCCAGGGCUCAACCCUGGAAAGCCGGUGGAUACUGUUGGGCUAGAGUCCGGAAGGGGCGAGUGGAAUUCCUGGUGUAGCGGUGAAAUGCGCAGAUAUCAGGAGGAACACCUAUGGCGAAGGCAGCUCGCUGGGACGGUACUGACGCUGAGACGCGAAAGCGUGGGGAGCAAACAGGAUUAGAUACCCCCGUAGUCC